rnacentral:rRNA from 1 species
UAAGGAAUAUUGCUCAAUGGGAGAAAUCCUGAAGCAGCAACGCCGUGUGAGGGACGAAGGGCUUAAGCUUGUAAACCUCUGUAGCAGGGGGAAAAAACCUUCAUUUUAUGGAGUAUGAUCGUACCCUGAAAGUAAGCCUCGGCUAACUACGUGCCAGCAGCCGCGGUAAUACGUAGGAGGCUAACGUUGUCCGGAUUUACUGGGUGUAAAGGGUGCUCAGGCGGUUCUUUAAGUCAAUGGUGAAAUCUCCCGACUUAAUCGGGAAACUGCCUUUGAUACUAUUGAGCUUGAGUGCAGAAGAGGCGGAUGGAAUUUCUGGUGUAGCAGUGAAAUGCGUAGAUAUCAGAAAGAACACCAGUGGCGAAGGCGGUCCGCUGGUCUGUCACUGACGCUAAAGCACGAAAGCGUGGGGAGCAAACAGGAUUAGAUACCCUGGUAGUCCACGCCUUAAACGAUGAAUACUAGACGUUGGGGUAAAACUCAGUGUCGCAGCUAACGCUAAG